GUGAGGAAUUUUCCGCAAUGGGCGAAAGCCUGACGGAGCAAUGCCGCGUGAAGGAUGAAGGCCUAUGGGUUGUAAACUUCUUUUCUCAGAAAAGAAUUAUGACGGUAUCUGAGGAAUAAGCAUCGGCUAACUCUGUGCCAGCAGCCGCGGUAAGACAGAGGAUGCAAGCGUUAUCCGGAAUGAUUGGGCGUAAAGCGUCUGUAGGUUGUUUAAAAAGUAUUCUGUCAAAGAUUAGGGCUUAACCCUAGAUAGGCAGAAUAAACUUUUAAGCUAGAGUUUGGUAGAGGCAGAGGGAAUUCCCGGUGGAGCGGUGAAAUGCGUAGAUAUCGGGAGGAACACCAAAGGCGAAGGCACUCUGCUGGGCCAAUACUAACACUGAGAGACGAAAGCGAGGGGAGCAAAUGGGAUUAGAAACCCAAGUAGUCC
rnacentral:rRNA from 1 species